AGAGUUUGAUCAUGGCUCAGGAUGAACGCUGGCGGCGUGCUUAACACAUGCAAGUCGAACGGAAAGGCCACAGCUUGCUGUGGUACUCGAGUGGCGAACGGGUGAGUAACACGUGGGUGAUCUGCCCUGUACUUCGGGAUAAGCUUGGGAAACUGGGUCUAAUACCGGAUAUGACCACUUUUUGGAUGGGGUGGUGGAAAGCUUUUGCGGUAUGGGAUGAGCUCGCGGCCUAUCAGCUUGUUGGUGGGGUAAUGGCCUACCAAGGCGUCGACGGGUAGCCGGCCUGAGAGGGUGUACGGCCACAUUGGGACUGAGGUACGGCCCAGACUCCUACGGGAGGCAGCAGUGGGGAAUAUUGCACAAUGGGCGCAAGCCUGAUGCAGCGACGCCGCGUGGGGGAUGACGGCCUUCGGGUUGUAAACUCCUUUCGUCAGGGACGAAGCGUAAGUGACGGUACCUGGAUAAGAAGCACCGGCUAACUACGUGCCAGCAGCCGCGGUAAUACGUAGGGUGCGAGCGUUGUCCGGAAUUACUGGGCGUAAAGAGCUCGUAGGUGGUUUGUCGCGUCGUUUGUGUAAGUCCACGGCUUAACUGUGGGAUGGCAGGCGAUACGGGCAUAACUUGAGUGCUGUAGGGGAGACUGGAAUUCCUGGUGUAGCGGUGAAAUGCGCAGAUAUCAGGAGGAACACCGAUGGCGAAGGCAGGUCUCUGGGCAGUAACUGACGCUGAGGAGCGAAAGCAUGGGUAGCGAACAGGAUUAGAUACCCUGGUAGUCCAUGCCGUAAACGGUGGGCGCUAGGUGUGAGUCCCUUCCACGGGGUUCGUGCCGUAGCUAACGCAUUAAGCGCCCCGCCUGGGGAGUACGGCCGCAAGGCUAAAACUCAGAGGAAUUGACGGGGGCCCGCACAAGCGGCGGAGCAUGUGGAUUAAUUCGAUGCAACGCGAAGAACCUUACCUGGGCUUGACAUACACCAGAUCGGCGCAGAGAUGCGUUUUCCCUUGUGGUUGGUGUACAGGUGGUGCAUGGUUGUCGUCAGCUCGUGUCGUGAGAUGUUGGGUUAANUCCCGCAACGAGCGCAACCCU
rnacentral:rRNA from 1 species